rnacentral:rRNA from 1 species
CAAUAGCGUAUAUUUAAGUUGUUGCAGUUAAAAAGCUCGUAGUUGGAUUUCGGUUAAGAGCGACCGGUCCGCCGUUUGGUGUGCACUGGUUGAUUUUAACUUCCUGUAGAGGACGUGCUCUGGGUUUAACGACCUGGACUCGGAGUCUACGUGGUUACUUUGAAAAAAUUAGAGUGUUCAAAGCGGGCUUACGCUUGAAUAUUUCAGCAUGGAAUAACACUAUAGGACUCCUGUCCUAUUUCGUUGGUCUCGGGACGGGAGUAAUGAUUAAGAGGAACAGUUGGGGGCAUUCGUAUUUCAUUGUCAGAGGUGAAAUUCUUGGAUUUAUGAAAGACGAACUUCUGCGAAAGCAUUUGCCAAGGAUGUUUUCAUUAA